CAGAGCCGCUGAGCUGUACAACUUCUGAAGUUUGGAGCAUCCAGUAAAUGAUGAUCGAAUGUGUAAACAGCAUCAUCUUGAUGGGAUGCCAGGUUUUUAGCCCAUAGAGAGAAAUCUCAUGUGGCUUCAUAUGGCACUUUGGAACAACCACCAAAUUUUGUUGACAAAAUGGAUGCAAAGUAUCUCCCAAACUUCCAGAUCCAGGAUGACUUCACCAUUUUAUUUUUCAGCAAUAAUAAUAAUAAUGAUAUCAACAAA